rnacentral:rRNA from 1 species
AGAGUUUGAUUCUGGCUCAGGAUGAACGCUGGCGGCGUGCUUAACACAUGCAAGUCGAACGGAGUUUUUAAACGGAAGUUUUCGGAUGGAAGUUUAAGAACUUAGUGGCGGACGGGUGAGUAACGCGUGGGUAACCUGCCUCAUACAGGGGGAUAACAGUUAGAAAUGACUGCUAACACCGCAUAAUAUAGUGAAACCGCAUGAUUUUUGCUAUCAAAUAUUUAUAGGUAUGAGAUGGGCCCGCGUCUGAUUAGCUAGUUGGUGGGGUAAAGCCUACCAAGGCGACGAUCAGUAGCCGGCUUGAGAGAGUGACCGGCCACAUUGGGACUGAGACACGGCCCAAACUCCUACGGGAGGCAGCAGUGGGGAAUAUUGGACAAUGGGGGAAACCCUGAUCCAGCGAACCGCCGCGUGAGUGAAGAAGUAUUUCGGUAUGUAAAGCUCUAUCAGCAGGGAAGAUAAUGACAGUACCUGACUAAGAAGCCCCGGCUAACUACGUGCCAGCAGCCGC